rnacentral:rRNA from 1 species
CAUCCUACGGGACGCAGCAGUGAGGAAUAUUGGUCAAUGGGCGAGAGCCUGAACCAGCCAAGUCGCGUGAAGGAUGACGGCCCUACGGGUUGUAAACUUCUUUUGUCAGGGAGCAAUUGGGUCCACGUGUGGGCUUAGCGAGAGUACCUGAAGAAAAAGCAUCGGCUAACUCCGUGCCAGCAGCCGCGGUAAUACGGAGGAUGCGAGCGUUAUCCGGAUUUAUUGGGUUUAAAGGGUGCGUAGGCGGAAUAUCAAGUCAGCGGUAAAAAUUCGGGGCUCAACCUCGCUCCGCCGUUGAAACUGGC